GGGGAUUUAGCUCAGUGGUAGAGCACUUGCCUAGCCAGUGCAAGGCCCUGGGUUCGAUCCCCAGCUCCG
rfam:Rattus norvegicus chromosome 15, whole genome shotgun sequence.